rfam:Paenibacillus rhizosphaerae strain FSL R5-0378 NODE_11_length_212732_cov_1.43092_ID_3978, whole genome shotgun sequence.
CACAUGCUGUAACCGCUCCGGUCGGGUUUACAAGUGCCGCUGCUUAAGACGGCGGGCCACCUGGAUUAGGCGAGUCUGAGACAUGAG